GGAUUCACUAGUGAUUCAGGCCUAACACAUGCAAGUCGAACGGUGAAGGUGGAGAGAAUGCUCUCUACUGGAUCAGUGGCGAACGGGUGAGUAACACGUGGGCAACCUGCCCCAGACUUUGGGAUAACUCUCCGAAAGGAGAGCUAAUACCGGAUACGAGAUCGGACGGCAUCGUCUGGUCUGGAAAGCUCCGGCGGUCUGGGAUGGGCCCGCGGCCUAUCAGCUAGUUGGAGGGGUAACGGCCCACCAAGGCGACGACGGGUAGCCGGCCUGAGAGGGCGACCGGCCACACUGGGACUGAGACACGGCCCAGACUCCUACGGGAGGCAGCAGUGGGGAAUAUUGGU
rnacentral:rRNA from 1 species